UACGUAGGUGGCAAGCGUUGUCCGGAUUUAUUGGGUUUAAAGGGUGCGUAUGCGGCCUUGUAAGUCAGUGCUGAAAUAUCCCGGCUUAACCGGGAGGGUGGCAUUGAUACUGCAGGGCUUGAGUAAAGUUGAGGUUGGCGGAAUUGACGGUGUAGCGGUGAAAUGCUUAGAUAUCGUCAAGAACACCGAUAGUGAAGACAGCUAACUAAGCUUUAACUGACGCUGAGGCACGAAAGUGUGGGGAUCAAACAGG
rnacentral:rRNA from 1 species